UGACUCGGUGGUCGGCGUCGACGAGGACAGCGCCAUGGCGGGACCAGGCGGAGCCGAGGUGGGGGAGGACGCGGAAGGUGCGCGUGAGAGGGUUACAUGCGAUGAGGGAUUUGGUUGAGGUGGUUUCUGGCUGGGAAGGGUUGGCGUUGGGCUUGGGCUUGGGCUGGGCCCAGAGGUAGAGGAGACCGUGCGAGGAAGCAACGGGUAGAGGUGAAUGGAAGGGGAGAAAAUCGAGGGGAAAAUGGAGCCAUGUGUUAUGGUCGGGAUCGAAGAGGGAAAGAGAGGUGUGAGAAGUGUGAGAGGCGUGAGGAGUGUGGCGGUGGCGGAGGGCGAGGAGAUGGAGGUGGAGGGGAGGGUGGGAGAUGGAGAGGAGGUGGAGGAAGGAGGGGGCGGAGAGGAGGUGGAGGAAAAACUUAGAGAGGGAGCGGCAGAGGAUAAUUUGGCGGAGGGGGAGGGAGGAGAAGAUCUGGUGGAGCGUGUCGUGCGGGAGACGGUAGAUCGGAGGCUCCUCCUCCAUCACACCACGGCGGUAGGGUAGUUGGAUGGUGGUUGGGCGCAGUGGGUGCGGCGGUUGGGUUGGUUCCAGUCAGAAUAGGGAAUACAAUUUGUUUUGUAUGCUUUUAAGAAGGUUAGUGAAACUGAGAAUCUUGCUUAAAGCUUCU
rnacentral:lncRNA from 1 species